GAGAUGGGUUCCUAGGGAUGGUAAGGUAAAAUCACCUCCAAAGGUGAGUGGGGAGAAGGCUUCAAUUUUUAGAUCAGGACCAGAGACUACUGGGAAUAAGCAAAUGAAGAAUAUUAACCAUGCUUCUGAGGAGAGGAAAAUUAUUCCUCCACCUAAUACAAAUGACAAUAGACCUUCUAGAAGUUGCACUCCAGCAUCUGUUAAUGCGCCUGAACAGGUGGAUACAAAUUUUCUUUUGCUUUUCUCUAGCUGACCAUCAAUAUUUAGAUUUCGUCUCUCUGUAUUUAUUGUUCGAUCUAUAAGUACCUAUUUUAUAUAUGAAUGAACUAAUAAAAAUCAUGGUGGACAAUGAGAAACUGUUCUAAUUUGCUUAGCUUUAAUGUUACCAUUUUUAAUUUUUGGGUGUUAAUGCGAUAAGGAAAAUUGAUGCAAGUUUUCAAAUAUGUAUUGCUAUAUUCGUUGUUUGGCAAGUUGGAGAGAACUUGGGGACAAUAAAACAGUGUGCUUCUGUAUAAAUCUGUCCAAAUACUUUGAGAACACAGAAAUGCAAAUUUAUGUCUGAAGAUGAGUCUCAUAGAUUUUUAAUUGAUUGUUAGAGUUCUGCACAGUAAUUGCAUUGGAGGAUUAAUUGGGGAGCCAUUCAACUAUAAGAUGUCUGCACAACCAGUUGCUUGAGAGAGUAUAAUGGGCAAUUGUUUAUCAUGCUUUUUCUUAUUAAGUAUAUUAUCAUGUAUGUCUGACUUAGUGACCGUAUUCAGGGAUCUAUUUUGUUUUUUAAGCUGGAUUCUAUUUGAAUACAGAUGAACUAAUAAACUGGA
rnacentral:misc_RNA from 1 species